GCCUAGCCCUGAUAGCAGCGGCAUCCUUUAUUGACAUUUUUUAUGGCAAUAAAGAUAAAGCGGAUAGUAGGAAAUUGC
rnacentral:sRNA from 1 species